rnacentral:rRNA from 1 species
GUGCCAGCAGCCGCGGUAAUACGUAGGUGGCAAGCGUUGUCCGGAAUUAUUGGGCGUAAAGCGCGCGCAGGCGGUCCUUUAAGUCUGAUGUGAAAGCCCACGGCUCAACCGUGGAGGGUCAUUGGAAACUGGGGGACUUGAGUACAGAAGAGGAAAGUGGAAAUUCCACGUGUAGCGGUGAAAUGCGUAGAGAUGUGGAGGAACACCAGUGGCGAAGGCGACUUUCUGGUCUGUAACUGACGCUGAGGCGCGAAAGCGUGGGGAGCAAACAGGAUUAGAUACCCUGGUAGUCC